UGCAAAACUAUUUUUCGAAUAUUUUCAAUAUACGGUCGAGGAUGCUUCUGGUUUAACGUAUACUCCUGCAUAGCAAAAUACAGUUUGUCUUACUUUAAGAACAAUAAACAUCUUGUAACGGUUACUGUUAAUGUUUCAGAAAUAGUUGUUUUUAUGUAUAACCAUAUGGACUUCAAAGCUAUUCACCAUUUCAAACAGUAAGAUCAACCCAUACCUAUCAGUAACAAUAUAUGAUACUGUUCUGAUAUUGUUAAAUUAUAUUAGAAUUGAUUCAAGCAAGAUAUGGUGGAAAUAUACCGCCACCAUUCGGCAAAUCGUUAUUGUUUAAAUUUGUGCAACACACUCACACAUUUGCAUUUGACAAUAUUGAACUACAUUUUAACAGUUCGACAAAUAGUUACAUUUUGUUGGUAUUUGAAGGCGACAUUUAAUCUAGCGUUGAGUGUAGAAAAAAAUCGCCGUCGGAUUGCCGUCAAAGGAAAACUGUCAAGCUGUAUUGUUUACUUCUUAUUCUACUGUUAAAACUGUUCAAAGCUAGCAAUUUAUAAAAGUCGAGUUAGACUGAAAUUAAGUUUACAGAACAGCAAUUCACAUAAAAAAUGACAACUUCGAUCGACCCAGAACUGCGCACCAAAAUCGAUACCGCUUGCCAGAUGGAGUAGGAAUUCACCAAACUGUACAACGAAAAAGUAGCCAAGACAACGGUUUGCUGGUGUGGAACGGAAAUGGUGCCAACGGGAAGGACAACAUCCAGAAGUACUUCCAGGAACUGCCCCGCUUCGAACACAUUAUGAACACCCUGGUCGCUCAUCCGAUCAUUGGCGACGCUGUGUCCUAGCAGCUGACGUUCAUCAUCAAAGUUUCGGGAACGGUCAUCUACCAGGACAAUUCUACCAAACCCUUCCAGAAGACAUUCACGGUUACAGCCCAGGGCGACAAGUGGAAGAUUGCGAGUGAUUGCAGCGCUGCUUCCGGUUGCUGGAUGCUAUCUUUUAAGGGAAUCGAUCAAUACAUGGAUGCAUUGGAAGGCGAU